rnacentral:rRNA from 1 species
UACGUAGGGCGCAAGCGUUGUCCGGAAUUAUUGGGCGUAAAGAGCUCGUAGGCGGUCUGUCGCGUCUGCCGUGAAAACCCGAGGCUUAACCUCGUGGCUUGCGGUGGAUACGGGCAGACUAGGGGUAGGUAGGGGAGAAUGGAAUUCCCGGUGUAGCGGUGAAAUGCGCAGAUAUCGGGAGGAACACCGGUGGCGAAGGCGGUUCUCUGGGCCUUACCUGACGCUGAGGAGCGAAAGCGUGGGGAGCGAACAGG